GGCUUCUGAAGCUAUCACAAUGUCAUAAAGGACACUGUGACUUCUGUCUUGCUCCAUUUCUGGGGUCACUUGCACUAGAGGAAGUCAGCUACUAAAUUACAAAGAAAUUCCAGCAACCACAAGGAGAGGUCCACAAAGUGAGAGAUUGAACCCUCGAGCUAACAAGCAUGUGAGUGAGACAUGUUGGAAGUGGAUUCUCCAGCUCCAGUCAAGCCUUCAGAUGAAUGCAGCUCCAGCCAACAUCUCACUGCAGCUUUAUGAGAGCCUCUGAGCUGGAGCCACUAGGCCAAGCUGUUCCCAAAUUCCUGACUCUCAGAAACUUGUGCAUAGGAAGAAUCUGGGGACCUUGUGGAAAGUGCAGCUCCCAGACACCUGCCUCAACUGACUCUGUGGAUGUGGAGCGGGCCCUGCCACUCCCCAUUUUUAACCUACUGGGGAGAGAACGGGAGGCAAAACUACAAACCUGAAAAUAAAGUGGCUAAGUGGCUUCUCAAACUCUUUCCAAGUCUCUAAACACCGCUGAGUCUGGAUUGUCACUGUGCUCUACAGAGGAAACGAAGACCAAGAAUUAAGCAGCUCGAUUUUCCAGUGCAGACUGUUUGACCUUUGUGACUAGUAAACCACUCCUUUUAUUAAGGCCAAAUCUGCAAAAUCUGUCUUAAAGAAAAUGGUCAGUCUUUCCUUUCUUCUAAACAUCUCUGAUUUUUUCAUCUUGUUUCCUGACUAUUCACAGACAGCAACAAUAACAGAUUCUGGAAAGAAGGAUUUGUAGUAAGUAUUACAAAAUCUUGUCUUUAAAAUGUGGUCCUCAGCCCAACAAUAUGAGCAUCACCUGAGAGCCUGUCAGAAAUGCAGAAUCUCAGGUCCCUUCCCAGAAGUCCGGAAUCAGAAUCCUCAUUUUAACAAGACACCCAAGUCAUUCCUCCCCACAUUACAGUCUGAGAUGAUGCUCUCCUCUAUUAAAAAGUUUUUUUAGGCUGGGCAAUGUGGCUCAUGCCUAUAAUCUCAACACUUUGGGAGGCUGAGGCAGGUAGAUCACCUGAGGUCACAAGUUUGAGACCAGUCUGGCCAACAUGGCAAAACCUGUUUCUCUACUAAAAAUAGAAAAAAAAUUAGCCAGGCAUGGUGGCAGGUGCCUGUAAUCCCAGCUACUUAGGAGGCUGAGGCAGGAAAAUCACUUAAACCCAGGAGUUUGAGACUAGCCUGGGCAAUACAGUGAGAUCAUGGCUCCAUUUAAUUUAAAAGAAAAAAAUUGUUUUGGAAAAAAAAAUGAUGAUGCUCUGGAACAUGGAUUGGCACACUACAAACUACCUGUUUUACAAAGAGUUUUGUUAAAACAUAGCCCAAAUCGGGCCAGGUGUGGUGGCUCAUGCCUGUAAUCCCAGCAUUUUUGGGAGGCUGAGGCGGGAGGAUCACGAGGUCAAGAGAUCGAGACCAUUCUGGCCAACAUGGUGAAACCCCAUCUCUACUAAAAAUACAAAAAUUAGCUGGUAGUGGUGGCAUGCGCCUGUAGUCCCAGCUACUCAAGAGGCUGAGGCAGGAGAAUCGCUUGACCCAGGAGGCGGAGGUUGCAGUGAGCCAAGACCAUGCCAUUGCACUCCAGCCUGGCAAGAGAGCGAGACACCGUCCAAAAAAAAAAAAAAAAAAAAAGAAACACAAAAACAAAAAACUACAGCCAAACUCAUUUGUUUACUUUUGCACUAGAAUGGCAGAGUUGAGUAGUUGUACCAGAGACCCUAUGGUUUGUGAAGACUAAAAUGUUUACUAUCGGUGCCGUGUAAAAAAAAAAGUUUGCUGAGUCUUGCUCUAGGAUAACCAGCAGAAAAUCAAUUCAUCUAUGGUUUGUACUUAUAUACUGAGCCAAAGCUUUGAAGGGUUUGCAAGAUCAACAUAAGAGCUAAAUCUACUGAUUGUCUAUUACAUGUCAAAUUAUCUUUGUACAGUAUCUAAGUUAGUCCUCACUGAGCCUGGAAAGAGAGCUAUUUAUCUUAUUUCACUCAGGAGGAAAGUGAAGUUCCCAAGAGUUCACUAGGUAGCUUGCAGUCAUGUGGCAAAUAACUACUGAGUAUGGAAUAUGAACCUAGGCUUUCUUCGCUCCAGGGAAAUCUUGCUGGUUCUGGAAAAGCAAAGUACACCGCCAGCCCUCAUAACCCUGACUCUCAGCAGAAGCUCUGAAACUAGAAACACAUUUUUAGGGAGCACAGUUUUUUGCUGCCCAAGGACCUAAAGUCAACAGAUACCUGAAACUUUCUGUCGCUGACUACAGGGAGUAGGUCCCAUCCCCCACAGUAUAAAGGUCAGAAGCCAGAAACCAGCUUCUGGGUAUAAACAUUACAGUUCAGUGCUCUCCUCCUCCACCUCUGAGGGGCAAAAAUAAAUUUGAGGGUGAUGGAAAAUCUAUUUCAUGGACAGAGUAAUCACUUCUUUAUAGGAGAAUCUCAAGAUUGGCUCUACCACCAGAUGCAUAACUGGGUAGUUCUGGUUCCUCAUGGCCUCUGGGGUCUUUUAUAAAGACUUAUAAAAUGGGUAGAUUUUAAAAGCCAGUAGGUUUAAAGUAGGUUUUUAAAGUCAGUAAGUGGGAUGAUUCUUUUUUUUUUUUUUUUUUUUUGAGACUGAGUCUCACAGUGUCACCCAGGCUGCAGUGCAGUGGCACGAUCUCAGCUCACUGCAACCUCCGCCUCCUGGGUUCAAGCGAUUCUCCUGCCUCAGACUCCCGAGUAGCUGGGACUACAGGCGUCCGCCACCAUGCCCGGCUAAUUUUUUUGUAUAUUUAGUAGAGACGGGGUUUCACCAUGUUGGCCAGGCUGGUCUCAAAGUCCUGACUUUGUGAUCUGCCUGCCUUAGCCUCCCAAAGUGCUGGGAUUACAGGCAUUACCCGCCGCACCUGGCCUAUUAUUAUCCCUUCUUGACAGAUGAGGAAACUGAGAUUUAGGGGUUAGUUCACACACUCACGGUGAUUCGGCUGAGUAGGGCCUGAAUUGAACAUAGUCAGCCUCUAAAACCUCAAUGCUUAACCACUGAGAUCUUGUUAAAAUGGGAUUGAAAGCUGCCUGCCUAUAGUUUUCUCUUCUCUUCUCUUCUUUCUUUCUUUCUUUUCUUUCUCUCUCCUUCCUUCCUUUUUUUUUUUUCUUUUGAGACAGGGUUUCACUUUCACUCUGUCACCCAAGCUGGAAUGCAGUGGCACGAUCACGGCUCACUGCAGCCUCAACCUCCCAGGCUCCAGCAAUCCUCCCACUUCAGCCUCCCAAGUAGCUGGGACUAUAGGCACGGGCCACCACGUCUGGCUAAUUUUUUGUAUUUUUUGUAGAGCCAGGGUUUCAUCAUGUUGCCAAAGUUGGUCUCAAGCUCCUGCAUUAAAGUGAUCUGCCCGCCUGGGCCUCCCAAAGUGCUGGGAUUACAGGCGUGAGCCACCAUGCCCGGCCUCACCUGCCUAUAGCUCUAGCCCACCUGUCCUACGUCUACACAGGAGCUACCAUUUCUUGGGGACUAGAUAUAUCAGUGGCUGUGUGACAUAUUUUACUGGCAUUUUUCCAGUUAAUACUAACAACAGUCCUGUGAGGUCAAAGUUUUUGUCCCUAUCUUACAGAUGAGGAAAUCAAGGCAGUGAGAUAAAGCAACUUGCCUGAGGUCACCCAGUUGGCAAGCUGGGGCACAGAUUUUCAGAGGUUUCUGGGAUUCCAAACCCUGUGCUCUCGGGCAUUUGUCUGAGAAAACUCUCAGGUAACACACUCUUCCCCUUCCAGUAUGUGUAUAUAGAUAUAUUUUUUUCUUCCCUUUCCAGUUUUGAGGAAAUCCCUUGACUAACACCCUCUUUCCUUCAGCUGUUAUCUUGUGGUACAUGGUGCCAAGUGCCCUCCUCAUUCCCAUCAUCUGCUCCAGAGGGUUUUUUGUCAAAAUCCCCAGAAGAUACAGAAUACAGUGAUGAUCAAGCUAGCCUUUUCCUCAUUGCCACCCCCCACAAAAAAUCCUGGUGGCCUUCACUCCCCAAGCCCCAGGGCAAUUAAUACUGUCUUCUACCAUUGCCACAGGCUGACUUGCCCAACUGGUAGGGCUGAUUCUAUCAGAUUCCUUAUCCAUACUUUGUUGUUGGAGGAUUUGUCUCAAGGCACCUGGCAAGACCCACAGGAAAUGACACCUGAGAUGUCAGUGGCUCUGCCCAGGAGGCCUCAGGCUCACCUGCCAGCUCCCUAAAGACAGGAUGCAAAGACACAUGGCAACUGUGGGAUACCUCUGGGUAUCCACCUGGCCCAGAGCCAUGAAUUAGGCACCCUGAAGAAAAUGCUAAACACCACAUGACCCUAACCAAGAUGCAACUGAGAUCAGAGCAUCUUCCCAAGCCGGUGUGACUGCUUUUGCCUGGCACCUCCCAUGUGGUCAGGCCUGGAGAGAUGGGGAGCCUAAGGAUAAGGAGCUGAAUCCUGGCUCUGCCAACUUCAACACGACCUGGAAUAAGUUACUGGGCUUUUUAUAUUUUUAUCUGCCAAAGGCCUCAAUUCUUUAUAUAAAAAACGAGGCCACGAGCAACAAUAUAUGUGAUAAGACUGAGUGAUCUGCAAAGGCAGGCUAAGACUGACUUCCCAGACACAGCCACUGAGCAACUGGUGACUGUGCGGGGGGGUUCCUGAACCUCUCUGGGGCUCAUGGGUUCAGGCUGAGAAAGUGUCUCCAUUCAGUGUCGCCCAGAGUUGAUCUGAAAAGUAGGCCAGAGUGGGCAGGGAAAUUAAGAAAAGCAUGAACCUCUGAAAACCUGCCCGGUCCGUGAGGAAAUAACCGGGUCCACUCCCUUGUCCAGAGCCUCCCCACCGCCCUCCUUCAGGCCAGCUCCGCGGGCAGGGCAGCCAGGAGGAAGGCUCAGGGACUAGGCGUCUCAGUUCCCGCUGGCCACCAACUCCCCCAUCCCCUGCCCCCUCUCUGGUUCUGUUUCUCUGUGUACGCAGGGAAGGUGUGGGCUUGUCGCCCCUGGAGGCCUUCCAGCUCCGACGUUUUGAAGCCUGGCUCCCAGAUUAAACUCCCUUCGGAUCCCAUUUUCUGAAGGGUCGCAAAAGCUGGGGGCUGGGUGGGGUAAGCUAGGGGACAACAGCGGCUCCGGCCGCCGCCUGAGCCCUUCAAGAUCAGCAUCCGGUCAAGCGGCUGUGCAGCCGAGAAGCAACCCGGGACUGCAAGUCUGCGUGGCGGGGACGGCGCAACCACUCACCGGCAUGACUGAGGCAGCGGCGGUGUGGCGGCGGUGUGGCGGCGGUGUCAGCAGCGCCUCUC
rnacentral:lncRNA from 10 species